GACGAACGCUGGCGGCGUGCCUAAUACAUGCAAGUCGAGCGAAGCGGCGGAUGGGUGAGUAACGCGUGGGUAACCUGCCCUUAAGUUUGGGAUACCCUCUGGAAACAGAUGCUAAUACCGGAUACUAAAGGUUGUACUUGCGAUGCAUGAGCUAGUCGGUAAGGUAACGGCUUACCAAGGCGAUGAUGCAUAGACGGGUUGAGAGGCUGACCAGCCACAUUGGGACUGAGACACGGCCCAAACUCCUACGGGAGGCAGCAGUGGGGAAUAUUGCACAAUGGACGAAAGUCUGAUGAAGCAACGCCGCGUGAGUGAAGAAGGUUUUCGGGUCGUAAAGCACUGUUGUUGGUGAGGCGGUAAUCAACCAGGAAGUCACGGCUAACUACGUGCCAGCAGCCGCGGUAAUUC
rnacentral:rRNA from 1 species